rnacentral:rRNA from 1 species
AUUGAACGCUGGCGGCAUGCCUUACACAUGCAAGUCGAACGGCAGCACGGAGCUUGCUCUGGUGGCGAGUGGCGAACGGGUGAGUAAUAUAUCGGAACGUACCCAAGAGUGGGGGAUAACGUAGCGAAAGUUACGCUAAUACCGCAUACGAUCUAAGGAUGAAAGUGGGGGAUCGCAAGACCUCAUGCUCCUGGAGCGGCCGAUAUCUGAUUAGCUAGUUGGUGAGGUAAAGGCUUACCAAGGCAUCGAUCAGUAGCUGGUCUGAGAGGACGACCAGCCACACUGGAACUGAGACACGGUCCAGACUCCUACGGGAGGCAGCAGUGGGGAAUUUUGGACAAUGGGGGCAACCCUGAUCCAGCAAUGCCGCGUGAGUGAAGAAGGCCUUCGGGUUGUAAAGCUCUUUUGUCAGGGAAGAAACGGUGAAGGCUAAUAUCCUUUGCUAAUGACGGUACCUGAAGAAUAAGCACCGGCUAACUACGUGCCAGCCGCCGCCGUAAUAC